CCCAGACUCCUACGGGAGGCAGCAGUGGGGGAUAUUGCACAAUGGGGGGAACCCUGAUGCAGCGACGCCGCGUGGGUGAAGGAGCGUUUCGGCGCGUAAAGCCCUAUCGGCAGGGAAGAAGGAGGACGGUACCUGACUAAGAAGCCCCGGCUAACUACGUGCCAGCAGCCGCGGUAAUACGUAGGGGGCAAGCGUUAUCCGGAUUUACUGGGUGUAAAGGGGGCGCAGACGGCAGCGCAAGCCAGGAGUGAAAGCCCGGGGCCCAACCCCGGGACUGCUCUUGGAACUGCGCGGCUGGAGUGCAGGAGGGGCAGGCGGAGUUCCUGGUGUAGCGGUGAAAUGCGUAGAUAUCAGGAGGAACACCGGUGGCGAAGGCGGCCUGCUGGACUGCGACUGACGUUGAGGCCCGAAAGCGUGGGGAGCAAACAGGAUUAGAUACCCGCGUACA
rnacentral:rRNA from 1 species